AUACGUAGGGAGCGAGCGUUGUCCGGAAUUACUGGGUGUAAAGGGAGCGUAGGCGGGAGUGCAAGUCAGAUGUGAAAUACAUGGGCUCAACCCAUGGGCUGCAUUUGAAACUGCAUUUCUUGAGUGAAGUAGAGGUAAGCGGAAUUCCUGGUGUAGCGGUGAAAUGCGUAGAUAUCAGGAGGAACACCGGUGGCGAAGGCGGCUUACUGGGCUUUUACUGACGCUGAGGCUCGAAAGCGUGGGGAGCAAACAGGAUUAGAUACCCUGGUAGUCCACGCUGUAAACGAUGAUUACUAGGUGUGGGGGGACUGACCCCUUCCGUGCCGCAGUUAACACAAUAAGUAAUCCACCUGGGGAGUACGGCCGCAGGGUUGAAACUCAAAUGAAUUGACGGGG
rnacentral:rRNA from 1 species